AGCGAACGUUAGCGGCGGGCCUAACACAUGCAAGUCGAACGCGAAAGGUCUUCGGACUGAGUAGAGUGGCGCACGGGUGAGUAACACGUAGGUAAUCUACCCUUUGGCGGGGGAGUAACGUUCCGAAGGAGCGCUAAUACCGCAUAAGACCACGGAGUCUCCGGACGCUGUGGGAAAAGGGUAGGCCUCUUCUUGAAAGACUACCACCGAAGGAUGAGCCUGCGUCCCAUCAGCUAGUUGGUAAGGUAAUGGCUUACCAAGGCGAAGACGGGUAGCUGGUUUGAGAGAAUGAUCAGCCACACUGGCACUGGAACACGGGCCAGACUCUUACGGGAGGCAGCAGUGAGGAAUAUUGGGCAAUGGGCGAAAGCCUGACCCAGCCACGCCGCGUGAGUGAUGAAGGCCCUCGGGUCGUAAAGCUCUGUGGAGAGGGACGAAAACCCUAGGUUUCAAAUAGGCUCCAGGCUUGACGGUACCUCUUUAGCAAGCACCGGCUAACUCUGUGCCAGCAGCCGCGG
rnacentral:rRNA from 1 species